GCGAGGUGUGAGCGAAAGCCUGCAUCACCAGAGAAUUCAGCUCCUCCUUAUCAGCAAAUCCAGAUCUCAGUCUCCCUAGAGCAAAGGCAGCGCGCACCAGAACAGGAUCUUCCUGUCCUCCGUCAUCUCAAUGGAGGCCACAGGGGUGACCAGGACCUGCACUUUGUACUUCUCCAGGAUCCCCUGCUUCGUCAGCUGCACUCUACAGUUCAGGGCCGUCUGCCCUCCAAAUGCCAACAAGACCCCAUCGGGACGCUCGUUUUUAAUCACCUGGAGGGCUUUGAUUGCUGUCACAAAGACGGCCGGAGUGGGUGGCGUCAGACCAGAGCCAGGAAAUAAACAGACAGAGAGGUGUGGUUUGAUGGAG